GCCAUAACAGUAUUACUUUGUAACGAGUACUUUUUCUCAUUCUAUCGAAUAAGGAGUAAAAGCUUUCUAUUAUACCCCGAGAGUGUAAAUUUGCAAGGAGUCGAUGUCAACGUUCACAAGAACCAAAACAGGAACAACGUUAGACUACUUACUUGAGCCCUAACAGUAUAACAUUGCAAUUAGUACUUUUUCUCAUUCAAUUGAACAAAGAGUAAAACCUAGUUAUAUUGUUCUAUUAUAACCCGAGAGUGUAAAUUUGGAACGAAUCGAUGCAACGUUCAUAAGAACCAAAACCGGAACAACAUUAGAAAACUCUAUUGCGCCACAACUGUAAGGUACCGAACUUCUAAAAUCAUGAAGUUACGGUGUACAUUUGGUUGGAGAGCCAUUGGAAAGGUUCCGGUGAAGUUCGGUGAAGUUCGGGAGCAUUCGGGCGAUUCGGUGCGCGUAGGCGCGGAAACGGAACCCGAAAGGCUAUGUUGGUCCAUGGAUUAAAUCCAGCAUUAGCAUGGAUGAAAAGAUGGUGAAAACAUGUUUGAAAACAUGUUGGGAGAGUCUCGGUUCGAUUUGAAACGAAUCAGAGGUCAAACGAGCAAAAACGGACGAAAACGGAGCGAAAACGGUGAAAAAGCUGAAAAUUUGGCUAAGUCCUAAAUGCUGUUUUUCUGGGCCUUCGGGGACCGGUCCCUCAAGUCCAGAGACCGGUCCCAGCACCCGAAAAUGGCCCAGUUUGGGCUGUGCACAACUAAUAUUGUUGAGGGGCCUUUGUGCAAUUGUGCAGAGUGUAUAGAGAGAGUUGGGGGCUCAUUUCCUCUCCCUCCCAAUACGUUGCAACCAAGAGCUCUCCCUCUCUCUCUCUAAGUGCUCUUCUUCUCUCUCUAGAAGGUGAUGGAGGAGAGGAUUUUGGUGGAGAUCAAGAUCAAGAGAGGGGAUUUCUUCUUCUUCUUCUCCUUCCUUGGCUAGUAGCAAGCUUGGAGAGGUAAGCUUCAAAACCCUUUAAUGGCAUCUCUUUAUAGCUUGGGUUUUAAGCUCUAGGAAUGGGUUUAGAUGUAUUCUAGCAUGCUAAAUAGAGAUUUGGUGCUUGAAUCCAAAGCUCUAAUGGUGGAUUCUUGCCUAGUUAUAAACCUAGGGCUCAAAAUGGGAUUUUGAGAAAUAGUUGGGUUUGAUCUCAUUUAACCCUCUGUAAACCUAAUUGAUAGGUCACUGAACGCGUUGGAAGCGACGGUUCGUCGAUUCGUCGAGCAGGUGCGACGUUCCGGCUGAAACAGGUGUUGUAGGCUUCGUUUCCGCCUGGAGGGCCGAGGCGACGUCGUAAAAUCCUGGAAACGGAUUUGGAGCAUCAUAACAAGAAACCGAAGGCCUAUAAUUUUCGGAUCGCGGAUCGGAGGUCGUUUGGUGGUCGCGCGCGCAUUGGGUCAAGUCGAGCGACGUGCGCCGCGGGAGGCCGAUUGCGAGUGACGACGAGCAAUCGGAACGCGAUAAAGGUGGGGGGUGUCAUCCCGAAGCAAUCGGGCUUCUCCUUAUGUCCAAGUAUCUUUAUGUUGAUCAAUUAUGCAUAUUGAGCAUGAUGCAUUAUAGGGUGCUUGAUUAGUGUUAUUACAUAUUCUUGCAUGUUAGUGUAAUAUAGUGUUGUUGGCAGAAUACUUGUACCUAAUAUGCAUGUGAUUGGGACAUAGUGUAGUGAAACCCUAUAAUGACAAGAUUAAUGUGGAUAGACUCUAGUUGAAAGAACACCUAGUCGUCGUGUACAAUUAGAGUAUUGAGAACGAGUGGCAUGUAAACAAUGAUCAUAACAAUAACGAGUGGCAUUGGAACCUAGUUAUGAUAUUUGAGUAUAGGGAUUAGUUGAGUUUUCCCUAGUUAUGAUACAUUGCAUGGGUGGAUUUCCCUAGUUACGGUUUGGUAGAGAACCUAAAGAGUUGUGUUGUUAACCCUAGAUGGUAGGGUAUCCUCAGUGACGGGGAUUUGAUCAUACUCUAUGUCUGUUCGAAGCUUGGUGUGGUCGCUCCACACAAGCAGUGCACUCCGGAGUUGUCACACGAUAGGGAUAGCCUUUUGGGUCCCGAGGGGUUAGCCUUUUUGGGCCCCGCAGACGGUCUGGGUUGAGUGAGUAGUUCUCGCCUUGAGCGAGCGGUUCCUCACCCAUGAGAUUGAGUGGUGGUUGAGUGAGUAGUUCUCACCUUGAGUGAGCGGUUCCUCAUCCACUAGAUUGAGAUCGACUUGUGGCACCUAUGUCGAGAGUUAGGUGAGUGAGCGGAUCCUCACCAGUGUGACUGAGAGUAGGUGUGGCACCUAUAGCAUAGUCAUGAGAUUGAGAGUGUGCCUCUAGGCUAGCCGAGUGAUUGGGUAAACUAUUGAGCAUAUAGUAGUGUGAUGGUUGGCCUUUACUGAGAUUUGAGUGGAACAGCCUUGUACCUAUUCGAGAUUGAGUCGGACCGUCGAGAGGCGAGUCGGGUGAGGAGCGGGGUAGCUCAUUGCCUAGGACUUUCGAGAUUGGGUCGGACCUUCAAGAUAUGAGUCGGGCAAGGAGCGGGGUAGCUCUUUGUCUAGGACACUUGAGAUAUGAGUUAGGCGGGAAAGGAGCGGGGUAGCUCUUCACCUCCUGGACUUGAGACCUUAGGCAAGAUUGGCCUAGUCGAUUGGAUAGUAACAUGAAUUGCAUAAGUGGAUUGCAUUCAUACCAUGAUUAGACAUAGUAGAUCGCAUAUCUAUGUUGUAGUUGUAUUCAUUACAUUGUUGAAGCAUACUAGCAUGAUAGUAGGUUAUUGCUAGAUGAUGUUCCAUGCAUUCUUUGCAUUUGAUGGCAUAGUAGAUAUAGUAGCAGUUAUUUCUAUCUAUCUUUCUAUCUAUCUAUCUGUGCCAGCUUGGACCUAGUGGGAAGAUCGGCGGAGUCGGCGGCCGAACCCACUGGAACUAUAUUUAUAUAGUUCUCACCCCGUGUGGUUUUGGGGUACAGGUACACACGAGAGCGGACCGGCAGAUGAUCGCGGCAAGGGCUUAGCGCCCUAGUGCUAGUUGGUAGAUGCUUUCCUAUUGCAUUACUUGUCACCCUAUAUACUUGAGAGUAGAUGAUGUAUAGGUGUGAGGCUAUUUUGGAAAAUGUAAACUUUAAGUUUAUGCUUUGGAUGAAUGUAAAGCUAAGUUGGAAUCAAAGGUAUUAGAGUUGAAUGGAUGUAAUAGCUUAGUAUCUCUCUUUUGAUCACUUGUUUAUUACUUGUGAUGCUUGCUCUUGAUUGUUUAGCACUGGUUGUGCUCUCGUCGCUGUUGUUGCAUGAUUGUGUAUGUAAUCAAGUUGAUUUCCUGGGAACUUGUUGUACACCAUCUCGUUUGAGCCUUGGGCGGACAGGGGAGGUGCUGUCCGUUCGGCGGUCCGCCCGCCGCGCCCGAACAGUGCCAAAUCGGCAGCGGCCUCGGGGCGGGGCGUGACAACAACAGUAUAACUUUGCAACGAGUACUUUUUCUCAUUCUAUCGAACAAGGAGUAAAAGCUUUCUAUUAUGCCCCGAGAGUGUAAAUUUGGAACGAAACGAUAUCAAUGUUCACAAGAACCAAAACCGGAACAACGUUAGACUACUGAGUUGAGCCAUAACAGUAUAACUUUGCAACUAUAACUUUUUCUCAUUUAAUCGAACAAAGAGUAAAACCUAAUUAUAUUGUUCUAUUAUAACCUGAGACUGUAAAUUUGGAACGAAUCGAUGCAACGUUCACAAGAAACAAAACCGGAACAACAUUAGACUACUCUGUUGCGCCCUACCAGUUUAACUUUGCAACGAGUACUUUUUCUAAUUCUAUCGAACAAGGAAUAAAAGCUGUCUAUUAUGCCCCGAGAGUGUAAAUUUGGAACGAAACGAUGUCAACGUUCACAAGAACCGAAACCGGAACAACGUUAGACUACUCAGUUGAGCCCUAACAGAAUAACUUUGCAAGUAGAACUUUUUCUCAUUUAAUCGAACAAAGAGCGAAACCUAAUUAUAUUGUUCUAUUAUGCCCCGAGAGUGUAAAUUUGGAACGAAUCGAUGUCAAAGUUCACAAGAACCAAAACCGAAACUAAAUUAGACUACUAAGUUGCGCCAUAACAAUAUAACUUUGCAACGAGUAAUUUUUCUCAAUCAAUCGAAUAAAGAGUAAAACCUAAUUAUAUUGUUAUAUUAUGCCCCGAUAGUGUAAAUUUGGAACGAAUCGAUGUCAACGUUCACAAGAACCAGAACCGGAACAACAUUAGACUACUCUGUUGCGACCUAACAGUUUAGCUUUGCAACGAGUACUUUUUCUAAUUCUAUCGAACAAGGAGUAAAAGCUUUCUAUUAUACCCCGAGAGUGUAAAUUUGGAAUGAAUCGAUGUCAACGUGCACAAAAACCCAAACCGGAACAACGUUAGACUACUCAGUUGAGCCCUAACAGUAUAACAUUGCAACUAGUACUUUUUCUCAUUCAAUCGAACAAGGAGUAAAACCUAAUUAUAUUGUUCUAUUAUGCACCGAGAGUGUAAAUUUGGAACGAAUCGAUGUCAAUAUUCACAAGAACCAAAACCGGAACAACAUUAGACUACUCUGUUGCGCCAUAAAAGAAUAACUUUGUAACGAGUACUUUUUCUCAUUCUAUCGAACAAGGAGUAAAAGCUGUCUAUUAUGCUCCGAGAGUGUAAAUUUGGAACGAAACGAUGUCAACGUUCACAAGAACCAAAACCGGAACAACGUUAGACUACUUAGUUGAGCUCUAACAUUAUAACUUCGCAACUAGAACUUUUUCUCAUUUAAUCGAACAAGGAGCAAAACCUAAUUAUAUUGUUCUAUUAUGCCCCGAGAGUGUAAAUUUGGAACGAAUCGAUGUCAAUGUUCACAAGAACCAAAACCGAAACUAAAUUAGACUACUCAGUUGCGCCAUAACAGUAUAACUUUUCAACGAGUACUUUUUCUCAAUCAAUCGAAUAAAGAGUAAAACCUAAUUAUAUUGUUAUAUUAUGCCCCGAGAGUGUAAAUUUGGAACGAAUCGAUAUCAACGUUCACAAGAACCAGAACCGGAACAAUAUUGGACUACUCUGUUGCGCCAUAACAGUAUUACUUUGUAACGAGUACUUUUUCUCAUUCUAUUGAACAAGGAGUAAAAGCUUUCUAUUAUGCCCCGAGAGUGUAAAUAUGGAACGAAACGAUGUCAACGUUCAUAAGAACCAAAACCGGAACAACAUUAGACUACUCAGUUGAGCCCUAACAGUAUAACUUUGCAACUAGAAUUUUUUCUCAUUUAAGCGAACAAAGCGCAAAACCUAAUUAUAUUGUUCUAUUAUACCCCGAGAGUGAAAAUUUGGAACGAAUCGAUGUCAAAGUUCACAAGAACCAAAACCGGAACUAAAUUAGACUACUCAGUUGCGCCAUAACAGUAUAACUUUGCAACGUGCACUUUUUCUCAUUCAAUCGAAUAAAGAGUAAAACCUAGUUAUAUUGUUCUAUUAUACCCCGAGAGUGUAAAUUUGGAACGAAUCGAUGUCAAAGUUCACAAGAACCAAAACCGGAACUAAAUUAGACUACUCAGUUGCGCCAUAACAGUAUAACUUUGCAACGUGCACUUUUUCUCAUUCAAUCGAAUAAAGAGUAAAACCUAGUUAUAUUGUUCUAUUAUGCCCCGAGAGUGUAAAUUUGGAACGAAUCGAUGUCAGCGUUCACAAGAACCAAAACCGGAACAACAUUAAACUACUCUGUUGCGCCAUAACAGUAUAAAUUGUAACGAGUACUUUUUCUCAUUCUAUCGAAUAGGGAGUUAAAGCUUUCUAUUAUGCCCCGAGAGUGUAAAUUUGGAACGAAUCGAUGUCAACGUUCACAAGAACCAAAACAGGUACAACGUUAGACUACUUAGUUGAGCCCUAACAGUAUAACAUUACAAUUAGUACUUUUUCUCAUUCAAUUGAACAAAGCGUAAAACGUAAUUAUAUUGUUCUAUUAUGCCCCGACAGUGUAAAUUUGGAACGAAUCGAUGUCAUAGUUCGCAAGAUCAAAAACCAGAACUAAAUUAGACUACUCAGUUGCGCCAUAACAAUAUAAUGUUUGCAACGAGUACUUUUUCUCUUUCAAUCGAAUAAAGAGCAAAACCUAGUUAUAUUGUUCUAUUAUGCCCCGAGAGUGUAAAUUUGGAACGAAUCGAUGUCAACAUUCACAAGUGCCAAAACCGGAACAACAUUAGACUACUCUGUUGCGCCAUAGCAGAAUAACUUUGUAACGAGUACUUUUUCUCAUUCUACCGAGCAAGGAGUAAAAGUUUUCUAUUAUGCCCCGAGAGUGUAAAUUUGGAACGAAUCGAUGUCAACGUUCACAGGAACCAAAACCGGAACAACGUUAGACUACUCAGUUGAGCCCUAACAGUAUAACUUUGCAACUAGAACUUUUUCUCAUUUAAUAGAACAAAGCGCAAAACCUAAUUAUAUUGUUAUAUUAUGCCCCGAGAGUGUAAACUUGGAACGAAUCGAUGUUAACGUUCACAAGAACCAGAACCGGAACAACAUUAGACUACUUUGUUGAGCCAUAACAAUAUUACUUUGUAACGAGUACUUUUUCUCAUUCUAUCGAACAAGGAGUAAAAGCUUUCUAUUAUGCCCCGAGAGUGUAAAUUUGGAACGAAACGAUGUCAACGUUCACAAGAACCAAAACCGGAACAACGUUAGACUACUCAGUUGAGCCCUAACAGUAUAACUUUGCAACUAGAACUUUUUCUCAUUUAAUAGAACAAAGCGCAAAACCUAAUUAUAUUGUUAUAUUAUGCCCCGAGAGUGUAAACUUGGAACGAAUCGAAGUUAACGUUCACAAGAACCAGAACCGGAACAACAUUAGACUACUACGUUGUGCCAUAACAGUAUUACUUUGUAACGAGUACUUUUUCUCAUUCUAUCGAACAAGGAGUAAAAGCUUUCUAUUAUGCUCCGAGAGUGAAAAUUUGGAAAGAAACGAUGUCAACGUUCACAAGAACCAAAACCGGAACAACGUUAGACUACUCAGUUGAGCCCUAACAGUAUAACUUUGCAACUAAAACUUUUUCUCAUUUAAUCAACAAAGUGCAAAACCUAAUUAUAUUGUUCUAUUAUGCCCCGAGAGUGUAAAUUUGGAACGAAUCGAUGUCAAACUUCACAAGAACCAAAACCGGAACUAAAUUAGACUACUCAGUUGCGCCAUAACAGUAUAACUUUGCAACGUGCACUUUUUCUCAUUCAAUCGAAUAAAGAGUAAAACCUAGUUAUAUUGUUCUAUUAUACCCCGAGAGUGUAAGUUUGGAACGAAUCAAUGUCAACGUUCACAAGAACCAAAACCGGCACAACAUUAGACUACUCUGUUGCGCCUUAACAGUUUAACUUUGCAACGAGUACUUUUUCUCAUUCUACCGAACAAGGUGUAAAAGCAGUCUAUUAUACCCCGAGAGUGUAAAUUUGGAACGAAGCGUUGUCAACGUUCACAAGAACCAAAACCGGAACAAUGUUAGACUACUCAGUUGAGCCAAAACAGUAUAACUUUGCAACUAGAACUUUUUCUCAUUUAAUAGAACAAAGCGCAAAACCUAAAUAUAUUGUUCUAUUAUGCCCCGAGAGUGUAAAUUUGGAACGAAUCGAUAUCAACGUUCACAAGAAUCAUAACCGGAACAACAUUAGACUACUCUAUUGCGCCAUAACAGUAUAACUUUGCAACGAGUACUUUUUCUAAUUCUAUCGAAUAAGGAGUAAAAGCUUUCUAUUAUGCCCCGAGAGUGUAAAUUUGGAACGAAUCAAUGUCAACGUUCACAAUAACCAAAACAGGAACAACGUUAGACUACUCAGUUGAGCCCUAACAGUAUAACAUUGCAACUAGUACUUUUUCUUAUUCAAUCGAACAAAGAGUAAAACCAAAUUAUAUUAUUCUAUUAUACCCCGAGAGUGUAAAUUUGGAACGAAUCGAUGUCAACGUUCACAAGAACCAAAACCGGAACAACAUUAGACUACUCUGUUGCGCUAUAACAGAAUUACUUUGCAACGAGUACUUUUUCUCAUUCUAUCGAACAAGGAGUAAAAGCUGUCUAUUAUGCCCCGAGAGUGUAAAUUUGGAACGAAACGAUGUCAACGUUCACAAGAACCAAAACCGGAACAACGUUAGACUACUUAGUUGAGCUCUAACAGAAUAACUUUGCAACUAGAACUUUUUCUCAUUUAAUCGAACAAGGCGCAAAACCUAAUUAUAUUGUUCUAUUAUGCCCCGAGAGUGUAUAUUUGGAACGAAUCGAUGUCAAAGUUCACAAGAACCAAAACCGGAACUAAAUUAGACUACUCAGUUGCGCCAUAACAGUAUAACUUUGCAACGUGCACUUUUUCUCAUUCAAUCGAGUAAAGAGUAAAACCUAGUUAUAUUGUUCUAUUAUGCCCCGAGAGUGUAAAUUUGGAACGAAUCGAUGUUAGCGUUCACAAGAACCAAAACCGGAACAACAUUAGACUACUCUGUUGCGCCAUAACAGUAUUACUUUGUAACGAGUACUUUUUCUCAUUCUAUCGAAUAAGGAGUAAAAGCUUUCUAUUAUACCCCGAGAGUGUAAAUUUGCAAGGAGUCGAUGUCAACGUUCACAAGAACCAAAACAGGAACAACGUUAGACUACUUACUUGAGCCCUAACAGUAUAACAUUGCAAUUAGUACUUUUUCUCAUUCAAUUGAACAAAGAGUAAAACCUAGUUAUAUUGUUCUAUUAUAACCCGAGAGUGUAAAUUUGGAACGAAUCGAUGCAACGUUCAUAAGAACCAAAACCGGAACAACAUUAGAAAACUCUAUUGCGCCACAACUGUAAGGUACCGAACUUCUAAAAUCAUGAAGUUACGGUGUACAUUUGGUUGGAGAGCCAUUGGAAAGGUUCCGGUGAAGUUCGGUGAAGUUCGGGAGCAUUCGGGCGAUUCGGUGCGCGUAGGCGCGGAAACGGAACCCGAAAGGCUAUGUUGGUCCAUGGAUUAAAUCCAGCAUUAGCAUGGAUGAAAAGAUGGUGAAAACAUGUUUGAAAACAUGUUGGGAGAGUCUCGGUUCGAUUUGAAACGAAUCAGAGGUCAAACGAGCAAAAACGGACGAAAACGGAGCGAAAACGGUGAAAAAGCUGAAAAUUUGGCUAAGUCCUAAAUGCUGUUUUUCUGGGCCUUCGGGGACCGGUCCCUCAAGUCCAGAGACCGGUCCCAGCACCCGAAAAUGGCCCAGUUUGGGCUGUGCACAACUAAUAUUGUUGAGGGGCCUUUGUGCAAUUGUGCAGAGUGUAUAGAGAGAGUUGGGGGCUCAUUUCCUCUCCCUCCCAAUACGUUGCAACCAAGAGCUCUCCCUCUCUCUCUCUAAGUGCUCUUCUUCUCUCUCUAGAAGGUGAUGGAGGAGAGGAUUUUGGUGGAGAUCAAGAUCAAGAGAGGGGAUUUCUUCUUCUUCUUCUCCUUCCUUGGCUAGUAGCAAGCUUGGAGAGGUAAGCUUCAAAACCCUUUAAUGGCAUCUCUUUAUAGCUUGGGUUUUAAGCUCUAGGAAUGGGUUUAGAUGUAUUCUAGCAUGCUAAAUAGAGAUUUGGUGCUUGAAUCCAAAGCUCUAAUGGUGGAUUCUUGCCUAGUUAUAAACCUAGGGCUCAAAAUGGGAUUUUGAGAAAUAGUUGGGUUUGAUCUCAUUUAACCCUCUGUAAACCUAAUUGAUAGGUCACUGAACGCGUUGGAAGCGACGGUUCGUCGAUUCGUCGAGCAGGUGCGACGUUCCGGCUGAAACAGGUGUUGUAGGCUUCGUUUCCGCCUGGAGGGCCGAGGCGACGUCGUAAAAUCCUGGAAACGGAUUUGGAGCAUCAUAACAAGAAACCGAAGGCCUAUAAUUUUCGGAUCGCGGAUCGGAGGUCGUUUGGUGGUCGCGCGCGCAUUGGGUCAAGUCGAGCGACGUGCGCCGCGGGAGGCCGAUUGCGAGUGACGACGAGCAAUCGGAACGCGAUAAAGGUGGGGGGUGUCAUCCCGAAGCAAUCGGGCUUCUCCUUAUGUCCAAGUAUCUUUAUGUUGAUCAAUUAUGCAUAUUGAGCAUGAUGCAUUAUAGGGUGCUUGAUUAGUGUUAUUACAUAUUCUUGCAUGUUAGUGUAAUAUAGUGUUGUUGGCAGAAUACUUGUACCUAAUAUGCAUGUGAUUGGGACAUAGUGUAGUGAAACCCUAUAAUGACAAGAUUAAUGUGGAUAGACUCUAGUUGAAAGAACACCUAGUCGUCGUGUACAAUUAGAGUAUUGAGAACGAGUGGCAUGUAAACAAUGAUCAUAACAAUAACGAGUGGCAUUGGAACCUAGUUAUGAUAUUUGAGUAUAGGGAUUAGUUGAGUUUUCCCUAGUUAUGAUACAUUGCAUGGGUGGAUUUCCCUAGUUACGGUUUGGUAGAGAACCUAAAGAGUUGUGUUGUUAACCCUAGAUGGUAGGGUAUCCUCAGUGACGGGGAUUUGAUCAUACUCUAUGUCUGUUCGAAGCUUGGUGUGGUCGCUCCACACAAGCAGUGCACUCCGGAGUUGUCACACGAUAGGGAUAGCCUUUUGGGUCCCGAGGGGUUAGCCUUUUUGGGCCCCGCAGACGGUCUGGGUUGAGUGAGUAGUUCUCGCCUUGAGCGAGCGGUUCCUCACCCAUGAGAUUGAGUGGUGGUUGAGUGAGUAGUUCUCACCUUGAGUGAGCGGUUCCUCAUCCACUAGAUUGAGAUCGACUUGUGGCACCUAUGUCGAGAGUUAGGUGAGUGAGCGGAUCCUCACCAGUGUGACUGAGAGUAGGUGUGGCACCUAUAGCAUAGUCAUGAGAUUGAGAGUGUGCCUCUAGGCUAGCCGAGUGAUUGGGUAAACUAUUGAGCAUAUAGUAGUGUGAUGGUUGGCCUUUACUGAGAUUUGAGUGGAACAGCCUUGUACCUAUUCGAGAUUGAGUCGGACCGUCGAGAGGCGAGUCGGGUGAGGAGCGGGGUAGCUCAUUGCCUAGGACUUUCGAGAUUGGGUCGGACCUUCAAGAUAUGAGUCGGGCAAGGAGCGGGGUAGCUCUUUGUCUAGGACACUUGAGAUAUGAGUUAGGCGGGAAAGGAGCGGGGUAGCUCUUCACCUCCUGGACUUGAGACCUUAGGCAAGAUUGGCCUAGUCGAUUGGAUAGUAACAUGAAUUGCAUAAGUGGAUUGCAUUCAUACCAUGAUUAGACAUAGUAGAUCGCAUAUCUAUGUUGUAGUUGUAUUCAUUACAUUGUUGAAGCAUACUAGCAUGAUAGUAGGUUAUUGCUAGAUGAUGUUCCAUGCAUUCUUUGCAUUUGAUGGCAUAGUAGAUAUAGUAGCAGUUAUUUCUAUCUAUCUUUCUAUCUAUCUAUCUGUGCCAGCUUGGACCUAGUGGGAAGAUCGGCGGAGUCGGCGGCCGAACCCACUGGAACUAUAUUUAUAUAGUUCUCACCCCGUGUGGUUUUGGGGUACAGGUACACACGAGAGCGGACCGGCAGAUGAUCGCGGCAAGGGCUUAGCGCCCUAGUGCUAGUUGGUAGAUGCUUUCCUAUUGCAUUACUUGUCACCCUAUAUACUUGAGAGUAGAUGAUGUAUAGGUGUGAGGCUAUUUUGGAAAAUGUAAACUUUAAGUUUAUGCUUUGGAUGAAUGUAAAGCUAAGUUGGAAUCAAAGGUAUUAGAGUUGAAUGGAUGUAAUAGCUUAGUAUCUCUCUUUUGAUCACUUGUUUAUUACUUGUGAUGCUUGCUCUUGAUUGUUUAGCACUGGUUGUGCUCUCGUCGCUGUUGUUGCAUGAUUGUGUAUGUAAUCAAGUUGAUUUCCUGGGAACUUGUUGUACACCAUCUCGUUUGAGCCUUGGGCGGACAGGGGAGGUGCUGUCCGUUCGGCGGUCCGCCCGCCGCGCCCGAACAGUGCCAAAUCGGCAGCGGCCUCGGGGCGGGGCGUGACAACAACAGUAUAACUUUGCAACGAGUACUUUUUCUCAUUCUAUCGAACAAGGAGUAAAAGCUUUCUAUUAUGCCCCGAGAGUGUAAAUUUGGAACGAAACGAUAUCAAUGUUCACAAGAACCAAAACCGGAACAACGUUAGACUACUGAGUUGAGCCAUAACAGUAUAACUUUGCAACUAUAACUUUUUCUCAUUUAAUCGAACAAAGAGUAAAACCUAAUUAUAUUGUUCUAUUAUAACCUGAGACUGUAAAUUUGGAACGAAUCGAUGCAACGUUCACAAGAAACAAAACCGGAACAACAUUAGACUACUCUGUUGCGCCCUACCAGUUUAACUUUGCAACGAGUACUUUUUCUAAUUCUAUCGAACAAGGAAUAAAAGCUGUCUAUUAUGCCCCGAGAGUGUAAAUUUGGAACGAAACGAUGUCAACGUUCACAAGAACCGAAACCGGAACAACGUUAGACUACUCAGUUGAGCCCUAACAGAAUAACUUUGCAAGUAGAACUUUUUCUCAUUUAAUCGAACAAAGAGCGAAACCUAAUUAUAUUGUUCUAUUAUGCCCCGAGAGUGUAAAUUUGGAACGAAUCGAUGUCAAAGUUCACAAGAACCAAAACCGAAACUAAAUUAGACUACUAAGUUGCGCCAUAACAAUAUAACUUUGCAACGAGUAAUUUUUCUCAAUCAAUCGAAUAAAGAGUAAAACCUAAUUAUAUUGUUAUAUUAUGCCCCGAUAGUGUAAAUUUGGAACGAAUCGAUGUCAACGUUCACAAGAACCAGAACCGGAACAACAUUAGACUACUCUGUUGCGACCUAACAGUUUAGCUUUGCAACGAGUACUUUUUCUAAUUCUAUCGAACAAGGAGUAAAAGCUUUCUAUUAUACCCCGAGAGUGUAAAUUUGGAAUGAAUCGAUGUCAACGUGCACAAAAACCCAAACCGGAACAACGUUAGACUACUCAGUUGAGCCCUAACAGUAUAACAUUGCAACUAGUACUUUUUCUCAUUCAAUCGAACAAGGAGUAAAACCUAAUUAUAUUGUUCUAUUAUGCACCGAGAGUGUAAAUUUGGAACGAAUCGAUGUCAAUAUUCACAAGAACCAAAACCGGAACAACAUUAGACUACUCUGUUGCG
rnacentral:lncRNA from 1 species